AGGACGAACGCUGGCGGCGUGCUUAACACAUGCAAGUCGAGCGGAAAGGCCCUUCGGGGUACUCGAGCGGCGAACGGGUGAGUAACACGUGAGUAAUCUGCCCCUAGCUCUGGGAUAGCUCCGGGAAACCGGGAUUAAUACCAGAUACAACCACUUUAGACAUCUCUUGUGGUGGAAAGAAUUUCGGCUAGGGAUGAACUCGCGGCCUAUCAGCUUGUUGGUGAGGUAACGCUCACCAGGCGACGACGGUA
rnacentral:rRNA from 1 species